ensembl:lncRNA
CUUUCUUUAUCCUGCACUAUCUGUCAGGCAUAGAAACCAGAAACAGCAGUGAUUAUAUGUUUUUGCAGAACUACUGGGGCUUGCUGUGAAAAUAUUGUUCUUGGGGUUACAUAAAAAUAUCCAGUCAUAACUAACUGCCUCAGUGGAUGCUUUUCUGGAGAGGAGGCAUCAUGAUUCAGUCUUUCAAACAGGUAGAAAGCCUCUUCGGGACCCUGAAUAACUGGGUCCCCACUGGUGGGGACAAGUGGCGCCCGAACACAGGGACCCCGAAGCAAGGCCGACUACAGGACGAUGGAGAUAAGAGAGCUGCAGCGGGAAUCAAGGACUCUUCAGGCCGCAUCGCUCGUGCAUCGCUGGAGAGGGAAGUAAGGACCGGUCGAAUAAUUGUCGUCUAAUUGCCAUGGGGAAGGUAUGGAUUUAGGAGGCUUGUUUCAUAGGAGAGAUCAAGCGCUCACUCAGGGAGAGAGGAUUAAGAGUUAAAAAAAAGGAUUUAAUCAAGUUUUUUUGUUUUAUUGAUGAAAGGUGUCCCUGGUUAAUUUUAAGCAGUGUGGGGCUAGCUUAAGUAAAACUUGUAAUAAAAAAGGGACAAGGUAAUGGUAAAGUGUUUUUGCAUAUGCGUUC